rnacentral:lncRNA from 10 species
UGCCCGGAGGGUUGGGGGUGGGGCCACAUCAGUGAUUUCUGAUUGUUUUUUUUCUAUCUCUUUCUAUCUCUUCAGUGCCUCUUUCAGUGAUAAGAAGUUCAAACCAGGUACUGUGAGUGCUCACCUGAUUUUUGGUUAUGAAGGUGUUUUGUCUGUGUAGAUAGUUGUUAACUUGGUCUCCUUGCAUGGGAGGAUGAUCGGUGGAGCCUUGUAUUCUGUGACUUUACUUCACUGGUCUCCUAUAUCCCAGCCUCUUUCUUUCUUUCUUUCUCUCUUUCUUUCUCUCUCUUUCUUUCUUAUAGAGCCUUGCUCUGUCACCUGGCCUGGAGUGCAGUGGCACAAUCUUGGCUCACUGCAGCCUCUGCCCCCUGGAUUUCAGCAAUUAUCUUGUCUCAGCCUCCUGGGUAGCUGGGAUGACAGGCACAUGCCAGCAUGCCUGGCUAAUAUUUGUUUUUUUAGUAGAGACGGGGUUUUGCCAUGUUGGCCAGGCUGGUCUCGAACUCCUGACCUCAGGUGAUCUGCCCCCCUCGUCCUCCCAAAGUGCUGGGAUUACAGGCGUGAGCCACCACGCCUGGCUCAGCUUAUUUCUUUAGUCACUCUAGUCAAAAUGUAUUUGUUUAUUUGUUGCUUUAGUAUUUUUUUUGUAGGGAAAAGGCAAAAACUCAGUCAUUCAUCAUGUUCAUAAACUUCCAAUCUUGAUUGGAUAGUGUAAAUAAAAGAUAAUUAUUGGUUAAAAAAUACAAAUUAAUGGUUUGUACGCAUUUUUCUGACAUAGUCAUGGGGCCAGCUGUCUGUGCAGGCAUACAUUCGUGCAGCAGGUUGCUUGCUUCUGGGGCAGACUUGCCAGAAGCCAAUCUAGGGUCAGUUACACCACUGUGCAAGAUGGCAUUUUCCUUGAGAGGUAAAGUGUCAUGCAGGCUUAGACAGUGGGAUCACGGCCAUUCUGCUGGGUCUAGGUUUUGAGCAGCCAGGUUUGUUGUGCUUAAACCACCAAUGUGAGUAUGGUGGAAUGACUGGAGUCUCAGGAAUGGAGAGAUAUGACGGCUACUGGCAGCAGAUCAGGACACACUGUGAUUUGGUCCAGUUUCAAGAUAGCACUGUGCCAUGAGAGUUUGGGCCAAGAGGGUUGGGGGUAUACAACAUGAGCAAAGUAGUGGCAUGAAUUCCAGGAAGCUCUCCAAACUGGAUCCAGGGCUCAUGAGGACCGUGGGUUUGUCGUGUAAUAAGAACUGCAAGUGUGUGCAUCAAUAAUGAGGAUGCUGGGAGCCUCCAGCUUAUGUUUUCUCCACAAUGAGAAUCCCUUCUGGCUACAAGCUGAUCCCAGCAGGGAAGAUUAGAUCCUGGAGAUGGGAAGUUUCACUUCCCCUGUAUGCUUGCUUUCAUCCUGGGUUUCUGCGUCCCAGAAGAAUUUUUCCAUUCCUUUGUUGUACUUGGUUGUAUUCCAGCUUAUUUCUUCAGUCACUCUAGUCAAAAAAUAAUUGCUUAUUUAUUGUUUUGGUCUUUUUGGAAGGAAAGGGCAAGAGUCAGUCACUUCUAGUCAGUCAUCCUUUUCAUAAACUUCCAAUCACUUUUAAUCGUUUUAUUUUUAAAUUUUCUUUCUUAUUUUGUCAUUUAAUCAAUUUGGUAAUUUUGUAAGUGCUCUUUUUCUUAGUCUGUUACUGCUGCUAUCAGAAAAUACCACAGACUGGAUAAUUUAUAAGCAACAAAAAUUUCUCACAGUCCUUAACUCUAUGAAGUGCAAUAUCAAGGCAUCAGUUGGUUUGGUGUCUGGUGACAGCCUGGUCUGCAUUUCCAAAAUGGCAUCUGUUGCUGCAACCUCUGGAGGGAAUGAACUCUGUUUCCUCACAUGGUAGAAGAGUAAAUGAGCAAAGAGGGGCUA